rnacentral:rRNA from 1 species
GAUGAACGCUAGCUACAGGCUUAACACAUGCAAGUCGAGGGGCAGCAUGGUCUUAGCUUGCUAAGGCCGAUGGCGACCGGCGCACGGGUGAGUAACACGUAUCCAACCUGCCGUCUACUCUUGGACAGCCUUCUGAAAGGAAGAUUAAUACAAGAUGGCAUCAUGAGUCCACAUGUUCACAUGAUUAAAGGUAUUCCGGUAGACGAUGGGGAUGCGUUCCAUUAGAUAGUAGGCGGGGUAACGGCCCACCUAGUCUUCGAUGGAUAGGGGUUCUGAGAGGAAGGUCCCCCACAUUGGAACUGAGACACGGUCCAAACUCCUACGGGAGGCAGCAGUGAGGAAUAUUGGUCAAUGGGCGAGAGCCUGAACCAGCCAAGUAGCGUGAAGGAUGACUGCCCUAUGGGUUGUAAACUUCUUUUAUAAAGGAAUAAAGUCGGGUAUGCAUACCCGUUUGCAUGUACUUUAUGAAUAAGGAUCGGCUAACUCCGUGCCAGCAGCCGCGGUAAUACGGAGGAUCCGAGCAUUAUCCGGAUUUAUUGGGUUUAAAGGGAGCGUAGAUGGAUGUUUAAGUCAGUUGUGAAAGUUUGCGGCUCAACCGUAAAAUUGCAGUUGAUACUGGAUAUCUUGAGUGCAGUUGAGGCAGGCGGAAUUCGUGGUGUAGCGGUGAAAUGCUUAGAUAUCACGAAGAACUCCGAUUGCGAAGGCAGCCUGCUAAGCUGCAACUGACAUUGAGGCUCGAAAGUGUGGGUAUCAAACAGGAUUAGAUACCCUGGUAGUCCACACGGUAAACGAUGAAUACUCGCUGUUUGCGAUAUACGGCAAGCGGCCAAGCGAAAGCGUUAAGUAUUCCACCUGGGGAGUACGCCGGCAACGGUGAAACUCAAAGGAAUUGACGGGGGCCCGCACAAGCGGAGGAACAUGUGGUUUAAUUCGAUGAUACGCGAGGAACCUUACCCGGGCUUAAAUUGCAGAUGAAUUACGGUGAAAGCCGUAAGCCGCAAGGCAUCUGUGAAGGUGCUGCAUGGUUGUCGUCAGCUCGUGCCGUGAGGUGUCGGCUUAAGUGCCAUAACGAGCGCAACCCUUGUUGUCAGUUACUAACAGGUUCCGCUGAGGACUCUGACAAGACUGCCAUCGUAAGAUGUGAGGAAGGUGGGGAUGACGUCAAAUCAGCACGGCCCUUACGUCCGGGGCUACACACGUGUUACAAUGGGGGGUACAGAGGGCCGCUACCACGCGAGUGGAUGCCAAUCCCCAAAACCUCUCUCAGUUCGGACUGGAGUCUGCAACCCGACUCCACGAAGCUGGAUUCGCUAGUAAUCGCGCAUCAGCCACGGCGCGGUGAAUACGUUCCCGGGCCUUGUACACACCGCCCGUCAAGCCAUGGGAGCCGGGGGUACCUGAAGUGCGUAACCGCGAGGAGCGCCCUAGGGUAAAACUGGUGA